rnacentral:rRNA from 1 species
UACGUAGGCAGCGAGCGUUGUUCGGAGUUACUGGGCGUAAAGAGUGCGUAGGCGGUUUUCUAAGUUGGGUGUGAAAUCUCCCGGCUCAACUGGGAGGGUGCGCCGAAGACUGGAAGGCUUGAGUAUGGGAGAGGUAAGCGGAAUUCCUGGUGUAGCGGUGAAAUGCGUAGAUAUCAGGAGGAACACCUGCGGUGUAGACGGCUUACUGGACCAUAACUGACGCUGAGGCACGAAAGCGUGGGUAGCAAACAGG